rnacentral:tRNA from 1 species
GGCGCUGUGGCUGAGUGGUUAAGCACUCGGCUUUUGAACCUGAAGUCCUGGGUUCGAAUCUCAGUGAAGUCU